GAUGAACGCUGGCGGCGUGCCUAAUACAUGCAAGUCGAGCGAACAGACGAGGAGCUUGCUCCUCUGAUGUUAGCGGCGGACGGGUGAGUAACACGUGGAUAACCUACCUAUAAGACUGGGAUAACUUCGGGAAACCGGAGCUAAUACCGGAUAACAUGUUGAACCGCAUGGUUCAACAGUGAAAGACGGUCUUGCUGUCACUUAUAGAUGGAUCCGCGCCGCAUUAGCUAGUUGGUAAGGUAACGGCUUACCAAGGCAACGAUGCGUAGCCGACCUGAGAGGGUGAUCGGCCACACUGGAACUGAGACACGGUCCAGACUCCUACGGGAGGCAGCAGUAGGGAAUCUUCCGCAAUGGGCGAAAGCCUGACGGAGCAACGCCGCGUGAGUGAAGAAGGUCUUCGGAUCGUAAAACUCUGUUAUUAGGGAAGAACAAAUGUGUAAGUAACUAUGCGCGUCUUGACGGUACCUAAUCAGAAAGCCACGGCUAACUACGUG
rnacentral:rRNA from 1 species